UACGGGAGGGGGCAAGCGUUGUCCGGACUUACUGGGCGUAAAGGGUGCGUAGGCGGUUGCGUGCGUCAGCGCUGAAAUCCGUGGGCUCAACCCACGGGCGCGUGCUGAUACGACGCGACUUGAGGCUCGGAGAGGGUGGGAGAACUCCUGGUGUAGUGGUGAAAUGCGUAGAGAUCAGGAAGAAUACCCGUGGCGCAAGCGCCCACCUGGCGAGACCUGACCGCAAGG
rnacentral:rRNA from 1 species